ACCAGUCCAGCUCCUCCAGUGUCUCCCGGGCCAGUUGUUGACAUGUCUCUUCUGGAGAAGGGGCAGCAUGGGUGGUGACCCAGAGGCCCCAACCCCGAGAUGAUGGGGGUCCACCAAAUGAGUGGGGGAAGGGAGACUCCUCACAGCAGCAUCUAUUGGAGGCGCUAUUAAAUUCCCAUUUUAUGGAGGGGGAACAAAGGCACCACAAGACGCUAUUUGCCUGGAAAGUUGGCUUUGGGGCCGGGAGUGGCCCCAAGGCUGUGGCGCCUGGCUACCCUUGGCCUCACCACCACGUGUCUGGACCCCUUGGUCUUUAUUUUUAAAAGUUUCUGUCUUAGCCA